rnacentral:rRNA from 1 species
CAGCAGCCGCGGGAAUACAGAGGGUGCGAGCGUUAAUCGGAUUUACUGGGCGUAAAGCGUGCGUAGGCGGCUAAUUGAGUCGGAUGUGAAAUCCCUGAGCUUAACUUAGGAAUUGCAUUCGAUACUGGGAAGCUAGAGUAUGGGAGAGGAUGGUAGAAUUCCAGGUGUAGCGGUGAAAUGCGUAGAGAUCUGGAGGAAUACCGAUGGCGAAGGCAGCCAUCUGGCCUAAUACUGACGCUGAGGUACGAAAGCAUGGGGAGCAAACAGGAUUAGAUACCCGUGUAGUCCCUGUCUCUUAUAC